GUUGAACGCUGGCGGCGUGCCUAAUACAUGCAAGUCGAGCGAACAGACGAGGAGUUUGCUCCUCUGACGUUAGCGGCGGACGGGUGAGUAACACGUGGAUAACCUACCUAUAAGACUAGGAUAACUUCGGGAAACCGGAGCUAAUACCGGAUAAUAUAUUGAACCGCAUGGUUCAAUAGUGAAAGACGGUUUUGCUGUCACUUAUUGAUGGAUCCGCGCCGCAUUAGUUAGUUGGUAAGGUAACGGCUUACCAAGGCAACGAUGCGUAGCCGACCUGAGAGGAUGAUCAGCCACACUGGAACUGAGACACGGUCCAGACUCCUACGGGAGGCAGCAGUCGGGAAUCUUCCGCAAUGGGCGAAAGCCUGACGGAGCAACGCCGCGUGAGUGAUGAAGGUCUUCGGAUCGUAAAACUCUGUUAUUAGGGAAGAACAAAUGUGUAAGUACCUAUGCACGUCUUGACGGUACCUAAUCAAAAAGCCACGGCUAACUACGUG
rnacentral:rRNA from 1 species